UACGUAUGGGGCAAGCGUUAUCCGGAUUUACUGGGAGUAAAGGGAGCGUAGGCGGCAGGGCAAGCCUGAUGUGAAAGCCCGGGGCUCAACCCCGGCGAGCCGUUGAAACUGGCUGUCUUGAGAUGUCGAGAGGUAUGCGGAAUGCGCAGUGUAGCGGUGAAAUGCUUAGAUAUUGCGCAGAACUCCGAUUGCGAAGGCAGCAUACCGGCGGCGAUCUGACGCUGAGGCACGAAAGCGUGGGUAUCGAACAGG
rnacentral:rRNA from 1 species